GUAUGACGCAGAUUUCCACGUACGUUAGUCAUGGUCUCUCCUGAAAAACGGCCGAACACGUCCCGGUUUAUGCAAACAUCCCAGAUAAUCCAAGACUCACAACUAAACUGCGUUGCCGCGUGUACCGAAAAAGCAAGAGUUAAUACAAUGUAGCAUCAAUAUGUCGUGCAAGUUUACUAGCACAAGAAUAGACGAAGACCAGUCGUGGCCUAGUUUUGUGUGUCCAAACUGAAAUGUUAACGCAUGCGACAGCGUGUUCGGACUUCGGUGGCCUACCUUUGAUCUGAUCAAUUUAUAUCUCACACUUUAUGCCAUCUACUUUAUCUAAAAAUUUAUAGCAUUCAAAA